rnacentral:tRNA from 5 species
GCAGCAAUCGCAUAGCGGCCUAUUGCACCUGACUUCCAAUCAGGAUCUCGUGAGUUCGAAUCUCACUUGCUGCA